rnacentral:rRNA from 1 species
CCUACGGGUGGCAGCAGUGGGGAAUAUUGGACAAUGGGCGAAAGCCUGAUCCAGCCAUGCCGCGUGUGUGAAGAAGGCCUUCGGGUUGUAAAGCACUUUCAGUGGGGAAGAAAGCCUUGGGGCUAAUACCCUCGAGGAAGGACAUCACCCACAGAAGAAGCACCGGCUAACUCCGUGCACAGCAGCCGCGGUAAUACGGAGGGUGCGAGCGUUAAUCGGAAUUACUGGGCGUAAAGCGCGCGUAGGCGGUCUGAUAAGCCGGUUGUGAAAGCCCCGGGCUCAACCUGGGAACGGCAUCCGGAACUGUCAGGCUAGAGUGCAGGAGAGGAAGGAAGAAUUCCCGGUGUAGCGGUGAAAUGCGUAGAGAUCGGGAGGAAUACCAGUGGCGAAGGCGGCCUUCUGGACUGACACUGACGCUGAGGUGCGAAAGCGUGGGUAGCAAACAGGAUUAGAUACCCGGGUAGUC